UGCGUAGGUGGCAAGCGUUUGUCCGGAAUUAUUGGGCGUAAAGCGCGCGCAGGCGGUCCUUUAAGUCUGAUGUGAAAGCCCACGGCUCAACCGUGGAGGGUCAUUGGAAACUGGGUGACUUGAGUACAGAAGAGGAGAGUGGAAUUCCACGUGUAGCGGUGAAAUGCGUAGAUAUGUGGAGGAACACCAGUGGCGAAGGCGACUCUCUGGGCUGUAACUGACGCUGAGGCGCCGAAAGCGUGGGGAGCAAACAGG
rnacentral:rRNA from 1 species